CAGGAAAGGCUGAGGGAGCUGGGGCUGCUCAGCCUGGAGAGGAGCCCCAGCUGAGAGGGGCCCUCAGGCCUGGCUGUCCCUGUGUGCAGGGAGGGCAGAGCAGGCCCAGGCUCUGCUGCAGGCCCAGCGAUGGCCCCAGAGCCACGGGCAGGGCCUGAGCCCAGGAGCUGCCCCUGCCCAGGAGGCAGAACUGCUGCCCUGGGCAGUGCCCAGCCCUGAGCAGAUGGUGCAGAGAGGCUGUGGAGUCUCCUCCCUGGGGAUAUUGCAGAGCCCCACGGACACACUGCUGUGCCCUGUGCUCUGGGAUGGCCCUGCUGGAGCAGGGAGGUGGCACCAGAGCAGCUCCUCUGGGCCCCUCCAGCCUCACCCAUCCUGGGGUUCUGCUGUGGGGUCAGAAGCAGGACAGGAGCUCAAUGACAGUGAAAACUCUCACCACCAACAAAACAAAUUAAGAUUCCAGAAGCUGCCUAAAAAGAAAGCCUGAAGCAGUAAUCAAAUGAAAAGAGGCAUGAAUUUUAAUCUGCUACCAAAGUACACCUUCAAACUUCAAGUGAUAAUUUAUUUUUACUCAGAGGUCCAGCCAAGCAUAUCAAAUGAUACAAGGAAAUGGACAUAGAGCUAGCUCAAAAUGAGAUGUGUAUAAAAUAAUGUGAAGUGUGGAUUUCUCAGCGUUCCGAUGGUCAGGAUGACCCCGAGAUCGUAAAGAGUCUUUUCUCCCAGCCCACACAGCAAAAGAAGGAGCCUGGAAUGUGUCCAAU